UCUCAUUAUAUGGGCUGUGUGGUGGAACAUAUUGUCCAACUCGUUGGAAUGGUACAACUGCAUGUGAUCAUGUACCACUAUUGUCUAGAUGUUCCUUCCAAUGUAAAAAGUCAACCGUUGCAGAAAAGCUGCUGUUUUCAGUCGCAUUAUCAAUGUAUCUGCUUAACAGAACGGCAUAGCUCUAAGCUAAUGCUGCGUCUGACAACUUCCGGUUUGUCGCAGUCGACUGUAUUUAAAAUGAGACUAGUCCUCCUGCCGAUUGGCUUAUAACAGUUCGCUGCUGGUACAGGAAAACAAAAACAGUGCGGCGUCCAACAAUGUUGCGGUUGUUUUCGCCAAAGCGCUUAUGUACAGCCAAGUGUUCCCUGCUCUCAGUCCAGGAGUUUACACUAACGGCUACCGUAAAGCAGCAGCGGAGUGUUUUCAUUCAGCGUCCCAGACCAGACCACGGAUGGUGGAAUAAAUCCGUACCAAAGUGCAGGAUUUGGAUGUGUGGACUUGGUGUGGGGGUCGCGUUAGCAGUGGGACUUAAGUACAGUUGGUGUGAUGAUGAAGGAGCACAGAGGACUGAUCGGUACAGGUCUGCAGUGAAUGCCAGCAGAGACCUUCUGGAGCGGAUAAAGGUAGGCGAAGAGGCUGAGGUUGCAGCUCCUGGGUUGGUGGUUGGGGUCUCUGUGGAUGGGGUUCAGGUCUGGUGUGAAGGAAUGGGUUAUGCUGAUAUGGAGAACCGUGUUCCAUGCACCCCAGAAACAGUCAUGAGAAUCGCCAGCAUUAGUAAGCCCCUCACAUCAGCAGCUGCCGCUCGACUGUGUGAAGAAGGGAAACUGGAUCUGGAUGUCCCAGUCCAGAAAUACGUCCCAGAGUUCCCACAGAAACAAUUUGAAGGAGAGGAUGUCACCAUCACUGCCCGUAUGAUUCUCUCCCACCUCAGUGGUAUACGACACUACGAGAAGGAUGCAAAAAAGGUGAAAGAAGACAAAGAGAAGGCCAAGAGACUGUUAAAACUACCAUCUAAAGAAAAGAAAGAGGAGAAAAACAAAGAUUCACUCGCAGCAGAGCAGAAUGCCAAAACCAAAGAAGCUUCUCAGCCUCAAAAGAAGAAGGAGUUCGAGCAUGAGGAAUACUACUUGAAGGACAACUUUGAAAACGUCACUCAGGCCUUGAACCUUUUCAAGGACGACCCACUCAUUUUUAAACCUGGCACUACUUUUUUGUACUCAACCCACGCCUUCACGCUGCUAAGUGCUGUCAUGGAGCGAGCUGCUGGUCAGUACUUCCUGGACAUCAUGAUGAACAUGUUUCGAGAGCUGGGGAUGAUUCACACUGUGCCUGAUGAGAAUGACCCUAUUAUUUAUCACCGAGCCAGAUAUUAUCAUUUCAACAAGAAAGGACGAGUCGUCAACUGCCCGUAUGUUGACAACUCUUACAAGUGGGCAGGAGGCGGCUUCCUUUCCACAGCGGGAGACCUGCUGCUGUUUGGUAAUGCCCUCCUCUACAGCUACCAGGUGGCGCAGCUGAAUAACUCUGAGAACCUGCUACCUGGGUUCCUUAAACCUAAAACUGCCAUAGAACUAUGGACACCAGUGGACAAGACGGAGGCCAGCUGGGAUAAAGACGGGCUCUACGCCCAGGCCUGGCUUGUGGUAGAGAAACUGCAGAAAUAUGGGCAGUGUAGGAAGCGCAGGCACUAUGUGUCACACACAGGGGGCGCUGUGGGGGCCAGCAGUGUCCUCCUUGUAUUACCCAGUGAAACUAUAGUGCAGCACAAAGAUCAAAGUUGUCUCCUUCCAAAAGGAGUUGUGGUCACUAUCAUCACCAACAUGCAGUCAGUGGGACUCAAUACCACGGCGCUAAAAAUUGCCCACGAGUUUGACAGAGCCAACAGUUCAUAAGAGUGAAAUAUUGACAGAUAUGCACAGUUUUAUCAUAGUAUAUUUUAUGUAAACUUUGUGAUCCGCCCAUAGUUUUGCUGCAGCUUUUUGUGUUCAGCGAAUCAGUGUUACAACGAACAUUUCAUACAUUUUUCUCACGGAUGGUAAAUUAAAUCGAUUAAAGUUUAUUUUUAUAAAUGAAUAUUAAAAUCCCAUGUCUGUGAGGCGUUUCUGCCACUAGGUGGAAGCAGUUCGCCGUAUUGUGUACCUAACACUGACCUGUGACAUCACCAAAUGUCUAAGGACAGCACUGUCUCAUUAGAAAUCGAGUGUAGCCUAUUUGUAUUUGAGGACUAAAAGGCGUAUUACAUAAUUCAAUUAUAUUUUUAUGUAAAUCUACAGGAGAUAGCCCCGAGGUUGCUAUGUCACGUGGUAACUUUGAGAACACUUCCGAACUACGGUACGUAUUUUCUCAUCGCUUAAAAUAGUUUGGAAAAACGGAAUGACGCAGUGGCCUAAUAUUGCCAACAGGAGUGGCCAUUAGCAAGGUUGUGCAUCUAUCAACUACGGUAUUAAAUGCGUCAUGUACAUAUAUUGUUUUUAUACUAAAGUUUCUGAGGCUUUUUACCUUUUUUUUAAUUUAAAUUAAUAGCCUUUUUCAGAGCACUUGUGCUGUAGUUUGAAAUAAAACAACGUUUCACUAGACUUGAGCCAAGACGAACAAUAGCAAAUAAAUCUAAAUAAGUUUAAGUGACGUCAUUUGACGUUGACUAAAGCUAUUGAUGUGAUAAUAAGUAUGACGCAGUAUGUUUUUAAAUGUAAUAGGUAAACCAGAUCAAGCAUUUUAAGAUAUGAAAUUUCUAGUGUUUCUCUCAUUUCAACUCGAGAAAUAUUUUUGGUUUACAGUUUAUCUUAAAUCAAAGAUUAGGUUCAGAAAAAGGAUGACUAAUCAACCGGAAUCAGACGUGUGUUAAAGAGUGUGUGUGUUUGUCAAGGUCACCCAGUUCCCAUAAAGAACGCCUAACAAAUGUGAUUACACAGUUACAAAUAAUUUACUUUAGUACACGUACAGAAAGUUAACUAAUACAAGAGUUGUUAUAAUUUUAUAUAUUAUAAAUUACACAGAUUAAAAUGUGAAAAAUAGUUGUUUUUUCAUAGUCCAACUGUGCUUUGUAAGUCAAAGCACAAAGAUUGAAAUGUGAUCUAACAGGAGCGACACAGUUCAUCUAGUUAUAUGUGUUAAAAGUUAUUUUCAUUCCCAUCCAUUUAUACUCGUGUGUUUUAAUGGGUGACACUUGUGUAUAAAAGAGGAUAAGCUCUAAAUCUCAGGAGGCUGUUAAUUAUUCGUGUCAUAUCUUUACAUGCCUCAACUUAAGUAACGGUUCUCCUCUGUCUGUUCUGUCGUGGUCAUGCUGUAUAAUUACUUAAUCAUUUCACAGAGUUGGUACAGAUUAUACCCUCGGUGCCACUUUCCAGUACUGUUGCUGGUUGCUCUGUUUGCUCUCUUUCUUCAGUUUCAUCAUCCUGUGUGUGGACACAAGCAGUGGCGAAUGGAUUUAAAGUCUUCAGUAGAUAAGAAGAGCCAGUAUGACCAAGGCGAUCAGGGUAACGAUGACCACGGCUGCGAUUAACCCCGCUUCUGUUGAGUUGCUGAUCUUGCUCGGGAGCUGGAGCUCGAACUGUUCACAUCUGCUGCCUUUGAAAUCGUCGUUGCACCUGAACGCUGGGUGAACUUACACACAGGAGAGUGUGUUCAUGGAAGGUAUUUUGUAGCAGGUUGCACCGUUCAUACAGUAGGUGGCUUCCUGCCCAUUACAAGGAUCACCGUGCUCUAACCAUAGGACAUUUGUUACAUAUCUGACACAUGUAAUUAAUCAGUUAAAAUAUAUGUGUAUAAUUUCAUUUUUUUUCUUACCUGCCAUCAUUUGGAUUUUGUUUUUCUUUUUUGCUGUUUCCUGAAUGUUGAAGAAAGAUUCCAGUUAUAAGAAAGAAAAGAAUGACGUAUCAAGUGUGUCAGACGUUAAAGUCACAUUAAACCUAAUUACAUAAACUGAACUACAUCUAAUAGGUUCUUUUAAGAAAGACGCCAGUAUUUUAUUUGUAAUAAGACAGAAAUUAGUCCUUACCUUCUCCCCUAAAUCUCGGCUUUUAGUUGUUAGUGAAGGUGAGUAUUUGUAACCAAACCUCUCCACGGCGUUUUGUUGUACCUGUGCAGAAACUGACGUGGGCGUGCUCCUCCCAUGGCCUAGAAAAAAUGUCGUGAUGGCAGUUUGUCCACAUUGUAAAUGGCGGGCGAAACGCCAGGAUUCUAACGCACCUAACGGUUCUGGGUAAUUUUAAGUGUGUAGUUUGUCACAACGUGUCGUCAGCUGUUGAGGGAGUAACUGCCUUAGGUCCAAAACCAUGUAGAGCCGCUGGGAAAGUGGUGAUACGGGCGUCAAAGGGUGAGACAAAGUAGAGUCUGGGAGAAGAAAACACUGCUGGUGUCGAAGAGGGUUUGAACAGAAGAACGUGAAUGUCAGGUAUGCACAGGAGGAAUGAGAGGAAUCGUGGGAACUUCCUUGUCAACAGAGUGAGAACAUGUCGCACCACUUCAUUCAGAAAACAUAUUAGCGCUCAAUUCUCCGAACCGUUAGGUGACUCAUCGGCUGGACAUGUCAUUUUAUUUGUCCAAUGCUCCAAAAUGUUUGAAUCCGUCCCGUCUGACAUUACAGUUCUCAAACAUGUUUGAUGGAAGAAUAAUGACGAGACAGGAACAAAAACAAACGGACUGACAGUGACACAUUCUAACUACACAAGAGAACAAAGGCGAGGUGUGACUGAAAAGGUCAUUAAAUUGACAGUGCAGCAGCUUCAGCAAAGACUUGAGUCGCAGGAUUAGUUAUAAAAGGAGCAUCAACCAAAGGCUCACACACACAAGUUUGUGUUGAACUUUAUAAAUGAAUUGUCUGCCAUUUUAAAAACAGGUAGAACCCAUAGCUUUUUGUAAAUAUAGAAGAAUAUAUUAUUGAACAAUAUAUAUAUAUAUAGAAGAAUAUAUUAUUGGCCAAUAUAUCAAUAAAUAUUAAUUAUAUAUGAAAUAUUAAUUAUUAUAUAUAUAUAAAAUAUAUUGUCCACAGGUCUUCUGUGCAGGGAGAUUGAGGAUAUAUGCUACCAAAAUAUAUUGUCAUAUCUCCGACGACGCACAUAUGCCAUUUUUCUUCAACUUUUGGAUUUUGUUUCAGGGGUCUUUUUCGGGGGCAUCGUUUCAGCCAAUCGCCUUUGGUUAUACUGCAGUAAUGCCGCCCUUAGAUACAUUACUGCCUGUUACAACAAACGACACAGCCACUAGCAAGUCACAGUAAGAUUAGAGGAGAUUUUUUUUUUUAAAUGAGAACGGGUUGUUAUCGCGAGGAAAAGUGAAGCUCAAGAGGUGAAGUGAAGCAAGAGUGCUUUUCUUCGUCGACGCUUCCAGGGUGGCAGAAGGAGAGAGGGGACGUUGGGUUUUUAUCAGUCCGCGAGGAUGAUUUUUAUCAAUUGAUGUUAUGUUAUCUGUGCGCGCGUGUGUGUAUCAGUGUGUUUGUGUUUUAAUAGAAAUCUGCUGUUUCCACUGCCUUCGCUGCGCCGCUGGAGACACAAGUCGCCGCUGAAAUCCCGAUUUCAGCACCUAGACAGCUCCCGGUGCUCCGUCCUUUUCAGAUCCGGCACAUGGACUGGACUCCCCGCUGACUCUGUGUGGGGGAAGCCCUGCCUGCCAGCACAUCAUGGCAUCAACGGAACAUGUCGUUAUCCGCCUGAUCCACUGACAGCCCCGUCGUCUGAAGGAUGCUGCUUUCACUCCCGAGUAGGUGUUCGUGUCGUCGUGCGCUGUCUUCUGUGAGAGGAUACGGGUGUUUGGCCAAGGCAAAUUUGAGUGGGAUCGCAGCCUGCAUACAGCAAGAUUCUCACUCUGAUCAUCACCAUCAGCAGCAGCAGCAGCCACAGGAGCAGCAAGGAGGGAGAUAUAACCAUCAUCUCUGCGAGGGCAAAGGAGUCACGACCACGCUACACAAUGUAGAGCCAAAAAA